GUAGGUGGCAAGCGUUGUCCGGAAUUAUUGGGCGUAAAGCGCGCGCAGGUGGUUCCUUAAGUCUGAUGUGAAAGCCCCCGGCUCAACCGGGGAGGGUCAUUGGAAACUGGGGAACUUGAGUGCAGGAGAGGAAAGUGGAAUUCCACGUGUAGCGGUGAAAUGCGUAGAUAUGUGGAGGAACACCAGUGGCGAAGGCGACUUUCUGGCCUGUAACUGACACUGAGGCGCGAAAGCGUGGGGAGCAAACAGGGAUUAGAUACCCUGGUAGUCCACGCCGUAAACGAUGAGUGCUAAGUGUUGGGGGGGUUUCCCGCCCCUCAGUGCUGCAGCUAACGCAUUAAGCACUCCGCCUGGGGAGUACGGUCGCAAGACUG
rnacentral:rRNA from 1 species